rnacentral:rRNA from 1 species
GAUGAACGCUGGCGGCGUGCCUCAAACAUGCAAGUCGAGCGGGGCUAUGUAAUAUCGCAAGGUAGAACAUAGCCUAGCGGCGAACGGGUGAGUAACACGUGGGUAACCUGCCUGGAAGACAGGGAUAACGAUUCGAAAGGGUCGCUAAUACCUGAUAAUAUCCUUUCAUCGCAUGGUGAUAGGAAGAAAGGGGAAACCCGCUUUCAGAUGGGCCCGCGUCCCAUCAGCUAGUUGGUAAGGUAAAGGCUUACCAAGGCGACGACGGGUAGCCGGUCUGAGAGGAUGUACGGCCACACUGGGACUGAGAUACGGCCCAGACUCCUACGGGAGGCAGCAGUUGGGAAUCUUAGGCAAUGGACGAAAGUCUGACCUAGCGACGCCGCGUGAGGGAAGAAGGCCUCGGUUGUAACUCUGUCAUGGGGAGAAGUAAGUGACGGUACCCAACGAGAAGCCCUCGCUACUACGUGCCAGCAGCCGCGGUAAGAGUAGUACA